CCUGACUGCUAUCGGAUUGAUACUAAGCCAUGCGAGUCAUUGUAGCAAUACAAGGCAGACGGCUCAGUAACGCGUAGUCAACCUAACCUAUGGACGGGAAUAACCUCGGGAAACUGAGUAUAAUGCCCGAUAGAACAUUAUGCCUGGAAUGGUUUAUGUUCCAAAUGAUUUAUCGCCGUAGGAUGGGACUGCGGCCUAUCAGUUUGUUGGUGAGGCAAUGGCCCACCAAGACUAUUACAGGUACGGGCUCUGAGAGGAGUGGCCCGGAGAUGGGUACUGAGACACGGACCCAGGCCCUAUGGGGCGCAGCAGGCGAGAAAACUUUGCAAUGUGCGAAAGCACGACAAGGUUAAUCCGAGUGGUUUCUGCUAAAGGAACCUUUUGUCAGUCCUAGAAACACUGAUGAAUAAGGGGUGGGCAAGUUCUGGUGUCAGCCGCCGCGGUAAAACCAGCACCUCAAGUGGUCAGGAUGAUUAUUGGGCCUAAAGCAUCCGUAGCCGGCUUUGUUAGUUUUCGGUUAAAUCUGUACGCUUAACGUACAGGCUGCCGGGAAUACUGCAGAGCUAGGGAGUGGGAGAGGUAGACGGUACUCGGUAGGAAGGGGUAAAAUCCUUUGAUCUAUUGAUGACCACCUGUGGCGAAGGCGGUCUACCAGAACACGUCCGACGGUGAGGGAUGAAAGCUGGGGGAGCAAACCGGAUUAGAUACCCGGGUAGUCCCAGCUGUAAACUAUGCAAACUCAGUGAUGCAUUGGCUUGUAGCCAAUGCAGUGCUGCAGGGAAGCCGUUAAGUUUGCCGCCUGGGAAGUACGUACGCAAGUAUGAAACUUAAAGGAAUUGGCGGGGGAGCACCACAAGGGGUGAAGCCUGCGGGUUC
rnacentral:rRNA from 1 species